GUCAAGGUGCCGGAGUGGUUAACGGGUUCGCCUGCUAUCCUUUCAUAGUUAGAAUUAGCUAAUGAAAAGUACAGUGAAGCGGAUGUCUUCGGACGCGCAGGUUCGAAUCCUGUCCUUGACG